rnacentral:tRNA from 1 species
CGACUUGCCUGGCACAUGGGUGAAUGCGUGCUCAAGAUACGCACAGGUGCCGGGCAAGUCCGGCGAUCUUGGGCGCCGGCCCGUCGU